rnacentral:rRNA from 1 species
UACGUAGGGUGCGAGCGUUAAUCGGAAUACUGGGCGUAAAGCGUGCGCAGGCGGUUCGUUAAGUCAGCUGUGAAAGCCCCGGGCUCAACCUGGGAAUGGCGGUUGAAACUGGCGAACUUGAAUCUGGCAGAGGGGGGUGGAAUUCCGACGUGUAGCAGUGAAAUGCGUAGAGAUGUGGAGGAACACCGAUGGCGAAGGCAGCCCCCUGGGCUGAGAUUGACGCUCAGGCACGAAAGCGUGGGGAGCAAACAGG